rnacentral:lncRNA from 1 species
UGCCCAUUACAUCGGGCCCCGCCCGACAUCAGGCUGAAGUCCGGAAUAACCUGGGCCCCGCCCACUGCAUCGGGCCCCUCGCAUCAUCAUACCGAAGUCCGAAAUAAACUGAACAUAGCAUAACAUAUAACAUAAUCACAUAUAUUGUAUCAGGCUUUCCCGACUUGCUACACAUAACAAAACAUGCAUUAAUCACAAAGACAUCAAGCAUCCAUAACUACUUCUCGGGAUGGCCUCGACAUCGGACCAAAUUCCAGAAAACAUAACAUAUAACAUGUAAGCUAAACCACUGCAUCGGACCCCGCUCGGCAUCAGACCGAAGUCCGGAACACAUAACAUAUAACAUGUAAGCUAAACCACUGCAUCGGGCCCCGCCCGGUACUACUAACAUCUAAAUGGGCCGGCAUUGUGGCCUUAGACCCGUUCCUACUGGAAGAGGACUCACCUCACACUGCUGAAGUCCCGCUGACAAAACCAUAGCUGCUGGAUGACAGAUUCCCGGUCUGUCAAUAUCAAAAUAACACCCAAUGAAUAAUUGGGUUCCAACUCAUAACCAUAAGUCCAUGCUUGGGGUAAAAGACUACUUUACCCAUAUCUUAGCUUGACUCAAGCCUAAGGCCUAAUCCAAAGGCCCAAAUGUCUAAUAAUGGACCAAGGCCCAACUAUAGCCCAUCUAUGGCCCAAUUUUCCCAAUUGGGCCCAAGUCUCUACAUGGUCUUGAUCAAAGGCCCAAUCAUUCAUUCUUGGUCCAACACUUGACAUUCUCAUAGUCCAACAUCUCAUAAUCAUCAAGGCCCAAACUAUGACCCAUUUAUGGCCUAAUUUUCCAAACUGGGCCCAAACUCCUUACGUGGGCCUUACCCUAAGUCCAUUAGGUUAUUCUAGUCCAUUUGCUUGCUUUUGGAUGGUCCAUUUUUAUCCCAAUCACCAAGGCCCAAUAGGAAGGCCCAACUCAAAGUCCAAGUGAAAUUGGGAUUUCACAUAAAAUGAUAAUUAGGGGUAAGUGUUUCUCACUUAACCCAUUAAGGACUUAAUCCAUUAAGUCCUUUACUCUACUAGAUAAAGGAUAUUAAAUAAUUUGUUUUAAUAGACAAUCCAAUCCCAAUGGCCCAAAGGUGGGUCCCAAUAAGUCCAAGGCCCAAAUACUCAUAAUUAGGGUUUUCACCAAGCCCAUUAGGGUUUCUAGCACCCCAAACAAAUCAAUCACAACGAGGCAAAGCACAACGCCACCCGACACGGUGGCCGGUGGUGGUUUUAAGUUUUCCUGUCAUUAUUCAGUUUGUAAUUUACACUUUACAAUGAUGAAACUCAAAAUAAACACACACACUAACCAACAUAAACACACACACAACCACCCUAUGGUGGCCUGUGGUGGUAAAAGGUGGCAGUGGCAGAUCUUGCGAUUUCCGGGCAAAUACUAAGCAACCAAAUUCAAAAACACACUGAUCUAAGGGUUUACUCACACACCCAUCCACCCAUACAUGGUGGUUAAGGGUGACAGAAAAGAAAAUAGCGGCGGUAGCCACCAUGGUUGGUAGCCAUGGUGGUUUUUCUCGGGUUUGCUGGCCAAACGAGCAUCUGUCUACACUUCAUAGCUAGGUAGUAACCCACACCACACAUGUUCAUCGUGAAGAACACACCUACCUUAGUCACUUCAGGUGGCAGGCGACAUCCAAAGCACAAAAGGCAGCCGCUCGGAGCUACAGUGGCGGUGGUCGUGGUUGAGAUGUAUUACCAAAGAAAAUGGAGAAAGAGAGGUCGCAACUCCGGGUGCGAAUGACAGCAACGACAUAAUGAACGAAGGAGAAGAAAGGUGACGAGAAGAAGGCAAGAGGCACACCCGACUCCUAUGUCGUCGAAUUGCUUCCGCCGGAGGAGAUGGUAGUUGUGACGCACGACGGUGACAACAACCAAAAGGGCUGGCGGCGACGGAGGUCGUUGAAGUGAGGGCGGCGGCUGGAGAAGAGCACAAGGUGGCGGCUGUGUGAUGUUUUUAGGUUUAGGGUUUGCUCGUCCA